rnacentral:rRNA from 1 species
CUACGGGUCGCUCCAGUGGGGAAUAUUGCACAAUGGGCGCAAGCCUGAUGCAGCAACGCCGCGUGGGGGACGACGGCCUUCGGGUUGUAAACCUCUUUUAGUAGGGAAGAAGCGCAAGUGACGGUACCUACAGAAAAAGCACCGGCUAACUACGUGCCAGCAGCCGCGGUAAUACGUAGGGUGCAAGCGUUGUCCGGAAUUAUUGGGCGUAAAGAGCUCGUAGGCGGUUUGUCGCGUCUGCUGUGAAAAUCCGAGGCUCAACCUCGGACUUGCAGUGGGUACGGGCAAACUAGAGUGCGGUAGGGGAGAUUGGAAUUCCUGGUGUAGCGGUGGAAUGCGCAGAUAUCAGGAGGAACACCAAUGGCGAAGGCAGAUCUCUGGGCCGUAACUGACGCUGAGGAGCGAAAGCGUGGGGAGCGAACAGGAUUAGAUACCCCCGUAGUC